rnacentral:rRNA from 1 species
GACGAACGCUGGCGGCGCGCUUAACACAUGCAAGUCGAACGGAGCUACAAUGGAAAGAGUCUUCGGGCAAUGGAAGCUGUAACUUAGUGGCGGACGGGUGAGUAACACGUGAGCAACCUGCCUUUCAGAGGGGGAUAACGUUUUGAAAAGAACGCUAAUACCGCAUAAAGUAUCAUUUCCACAUGGAGGAGAUACCAAAGGAGCAAUCCGCUGAAAGAUGGGCUCGCGUCCGAUUAGCUAGUUGGUAGGGUAAUGGCCUACCAAGGCGACGAUCGGUAGCCGGACUGAGAGGUUGAACGGCCACAUUGGGACUGAGACACGGGCCCAGACUCCUACGGGAGCAGCAGGUGGGAAUAUUGCACAAUGGGAGGAACUCUGAUGCAGCGACGCCGCGUGA